AAAGUCGUAACAAGGUUUCCGUAGGUGAACCUGCGGAAGGAUCAUCACUGGGUUUGAGAGGUUGCACACCGUGAAUGGUAUGGAGGGCUGCGGGGUGGGUUGGCGGGUAGAGGGGGGGUGAGAGGAGCGUGACACGCGACGCUUGCCACCACCGCCCGCCAACACGCCCAGCGGCCGCAUUCGUGUACAUUACACUAUGCAAACAACACAAACGCAAAACAGCAUAAUAACACACAACUUUCAACAAUGGAUCUCUUGGCUCUC
rnacentral:misc_RNA from 1 species